rnacentral:lncRNA from 1 species
GAACUCACCAAGUUUCCAUGGAAACCCAAGAAUCUUCCUCUACACUUACAGUAGCCAGUAGAAAUAGUCCCGCUUCUCCACUAAAAGAAUUGUCAGGAAAACUAAUGAAAAGUAUAGAACAAGAUGCAGUGAAUACUUUUACCAAAUAUAUAUCUCCAGAUGCUGCUAAACCAAUACCAAUUACAGAAGCAAUGAGAAAUGACAUCAUAGGUAAGCAGUGCUUGAAACUAUGGCAAAAAAAAAAUGACAAAAAAUGCACAGAACUGACAAUUUUCGUUAUUGACUAAGAUAAUUUUUUCUUAACAUGGAAUUUAGCAGUUCCCUUCCUAAUUUGUUUUCUGAGUAUUUUUUAUAUCGGAUUAUAGCUCACUUUAAAAGUUUCUCGGCUGCAUUCGGUGCGAGGGUCUUUGCCUGGGCCAGAUGGGCUGCAGUGUAGCGGGUGCUCAGGCCUGCCCGCUGCUGAGCAGCCGGGCCGG